rnacentral:tRNA from 1 species
CUUUUAAAGGAUCAAAGUCUAAUCCG